CACCUCCUCCACCUCCCCCAAUGUUUGGAGUACCACCUCCACCUCCCCCAAUGUUUGGAGCACCACCUCCACCUCCACCUCCUGGUGGUCGAGGACCACCUCCUCCACCUCCCCCAAUGUUUGGAGCACCACCUCCACCUCCACCUCCUGGUGGUAGAGGACCGCCCCCUCCACCUCCUCCUGGUGGCGGAGGUCCUCCUCCUCCACCUCCCCCAGGUGUUCCUGGUGCUCCUAGACCUCCGGGGGGUGGACCUCCACCACCUCCACCAAAAGGUGGAAAUGUUGGAGUUGAUCCAAGAGGGAGGGGACGAGGGUAUGCACGCCCUACAGGGGUUGCACCCAAACGAUCCUCUUUGAAGCCUUUACAUUGGAGCAAGGUUACAAGGGCACU
rnacentral:lncRNA from 1 species